UACGGGGGGAGCAAACAUUGUUCGGAAUCACUGGGCGUAAAGGGCGUGUAGGCGGCUGAAUAAGUGGGAUGUUAAAUCCCCCGGCUCAACCGGGGACCUGCAUCUCAUACUGUUCAGCUCGAGCACAUCAGAGGAGACUGGAAUUUACGGUGUAGCAGUGAAAUGCGUAGAGAUCGUAAGGAAGACCAGUGGCGAAGGCGAGUUUCUGGACAGUAACUGACGCUGAGGCACGAAGGCCAGGGGAGCAAACGGG
rnacentral:rRNA from 1 species